rnacentral:rRNA from 1 species
GACGAACGCUGGCGGCGUGCUUAACACAUGCAAGUCGAACGGAAAGGCCUGCUUUCCCUUGUGGUUUGCGGGUACUCGAGUGGCGAACGGGUGAGUAACACGUGAGUGAUCUGCCCCCAACUUGGGUAUAAGCCUGGGAAACUGGGUCUAAUUCCCGAUAGGACUGCAGGGUGGUGCCUUUGGUGGAAAACGUUUUUCUAGUGGUUGGGGAUGAGCUCGCGGCCUAUCAGCUUGUUGGUGGGGUAAUGGCCUACCAAGGCGGCGACGGGUAGCCGGCCUGGGAGGGUGGACGGCGACAUUGGGACUGGGAUACGGCCCAGACGCCUACGGGAAGCAGCAGUGGGUAAGAUUGCAGAAUGGGCGGAAGCGUGAUGCAGCGACGCCGCGUGGGGGAUGACGGCCUUCGGGUUGUAAACUCCUUUCGACCGCGAGGAAGCCACCUGGUUGGAAGGGUGGUGACGGUAGUGGUAGAAGAAGCACCGGCUAACUACGUG